CCAGAUGACCUCCCAGGUGGUGACCUUGUGAACGAAGACCUUCAGGAGAUGAUCUUCAAUGGUGACUGCUGGAAGAUGACCUCCCAGGUGGUGGCCUUGUGAACGAAGACCUUCAGGGCGAGAGUAAUUCGUGUGACUCAGAGCGGUGGAGCGGUUGGGCGAUCUGUACUUUAUCGCCCUUCACGGAAAGGGCAUCUCGCAGCGUUCACCCCAGACCCCAGGGUAAGAAGAACCACUGCUUGAGAUUAUCAAGACAAUUAAGAAGAACCAUUGCUUUAGAGACUCAAGACAAUUAAGAAGAACCACUACUUUAGAUUAUCAAGAUGAUUAAGAAGAACCACUGCUUUAGAUUAUCAAAACAAUUAAGAAGAACCACUGCUUUAGAUUAUCAAGACAAUUAAGAAGAACCAUUGCUUUAGAUUAUCAAGACGAUCAAGAAGAACCACUGCUUUAGAUUAUCAAGACGAUUAAGAAGAACCACUGCUUUAGAUUAUCAAGACAAUUAAGAAGAACCAUUGCUUUAGAUUAUCAAGACGAUCAAGAAGAACCACUGCUUUAGAUUAUCAAGACAAUUAAGAAGAACCACUGCUUUAGAUUAUCAAGAUGAUUAAGAAGAACCACUGAUUUAGAGACUCAAGACAAUUUAGAAGAACCAUUGCUUUAGAUUAUCAAGAUGAUUAAGAAGAACCACUGCUUUAGAUUAUCAAGACAAUUAAGAAGAACCAUUGCUUUAGAUUAUCAAGACGAUCAAGAAGAACCACUGAUUUAGAGACUCAAGACAAUUAAGAAGAACCAUUGCUUUAGAUUCUCAAGACA